rnacentral:rRNA from 1 species
GACGAACGCUGGCGGCGUGCCUAAUACAUGCAAGUGGGACGCAAGGACACACACUGUGCUUGCACACCGUGUUUUCUUGAGUCGCGAACGGGCGAGUAACGCGUAGGUAACCUGCCUAUUAGCGGGGGAUAACUACUGGAAACGAAAGCUAAUACCGCAUAAUAUUAAUUAUUGCUUGAUAAUUGAUCGAAAGAUGCAACCGCAUCCCUAGUAGAUGGACCUGCGUUGUAUUAGCUAGUUGGUAAGGUAAGAGCUUACCAAGGCGGCGGUACAUAACCGAGCCGGAGAGGAGGACGGCCAAACUGGGAAUGGGGCAACGGCCCAAAUCCUACCGGAGGGAGCAGGAGGGGAUCUUCGGCAAUGGACGGAAGGCUGACCGCGGCACGCCGCGGGGGUGAAGGAGGGUUUCGGAUCGGAAAGCUCUGUUGUAAGUGAAGAAAGUGUGUGAGGGUGGAAAGUUCACAUAGUGACGGUAGCUUACCAGAAAGGGACGGCUAACUACGUG